GACGAACGCUGGCGGCGUGCUUAACACAUGCAAGUCGAACGGAAAGGCCCUGCUUGCAGGGUACUCGAGUGGCGAACGGGUGAGUAGCACGUGGGUGAUCUGCCCUGCACUUCGGGAUAAGCCUGGGAAACUGGGUCUAAUACCGGAUAGGAGCCAUUUUUAGUGUGAUGGUUGGAAAGUUUUUUCGGUGUAGGAUGAGCUCGCGGCCUAUCAGCUUGUUGGUGGGGUAAUGGCCUACCAAGGCGGCGACGGGUAGCCGGCCUGAGAGGGUGGACGGCCACAUUGGGACUGAGAUACGGCCCAGACUCCUACGGGGGGCAGCAGUGGGGAAUAUUGCACAAUGGGCGCAAGCCUGAUGCAGCGACGCCGCGUGGGGGAUGACGGCCUUCGGGUUGUAAACUCCUUUCGCUAGGGACGAAGCUUUUUGUGACGGUACCUAGAUAAGAAGCACCGGCUAACUACGUG
rnacentral:rRNA from 1 species